rnacentral:rRNA from 1 species
ACUAGGUUAAGCUACUAAGAGCGCACGGAGGAUGCCUAGGCGCUAGGAGCCGAAGAAGGACGUGGCGAACGACGAAAUGCCUCGGGGAGCCGUAAGCAGGCUUUGAUCCGGGGAUGUCCGAAUGGGGAAACCCGGCUGGAGUAAUGUCCAGUCACUCAUAACUGAAUACAUAGGUUAUGUAGAGGCAGACCAGGGGAACUGAAACAUCUAAGUACCCUGAGGAAGAGAAAACAAUAGUGAUUCCGUCAGUAGCGGCGAGCGAACGCGGAUUAGCCCAAACCAAGGAGCUUGCUCCUUGGGGUUGUAGGGCGUCUCACAUGGAGUUACAAAGGUGUUGGUUAGGCGAAGAGGUCUGGAAAGGCCCGCUAGAAGAGGUAAAAGCCCUGUA